GACCCCUCUGGAACCAGUACACACGCCCAAGGCGGGCCCACAGCAUAUGGGGAGAGGCGCGGGGCGGGGGAACGGGAGGGGAAUGCUGUGUAUCCAAAAUGCAAUUACAGCUCCUGCUCCUCCAGCAAGUCCACACGCCAAAAGCAUCAGCGGAGAGAAGCAAGACUUCUAGAAACAAGAAAAGUGAAGUGGAUUUAGAGCUGGCCGGGACCCAAAGGUCUUGCUCCUUCCGCGUUGGAUGUCGGGAAAUACGCAAAGGAGCCCGUUGUCUGGACGAGGCAUUGCCAGGAAGCGAAGGGAAGGGCAAUAUUGCAGAUCGCUAGGGUGAGCAUCUACCCCGACCAGGGGAGGCUGGAGCUUUCUCUGCAACGCUGGGCUGGUCUUGCAGGUGAGUGACUGCCCAGGACACGCCGGAGCAGGGGCUGUAGGUGAGUUUUCGCUGGAGGGUGGAUGCGACCAAGUGCCCUGUGGACAUUAUCCUAGAGACUGGGGAGCCUUCAGAGGAUUGGGAGCAUGACUAAUCUUAUUUGCUUAGCAAGCUCCCGCAGGCGGCAGAGAGCAGAGGAAGGAGGGUGAGGGGGGCCGUUAGUGGUUGUGGCCAUAAGCACAGAGGAGGGAGCAGUGAAAGUAGGGGUAGAGAAGAGGGGACAGACUUAUGAGAAAAAAAAGACAGAUAGCCUCCAAAGUCUGUGAUCUGAACCACAAAUUACCCUACUUAGCCACCUCCUUCAAAAAAUGCAAGAUAAAGUGAUUUUUUUAAGUCCUUUAAGUUAGGAGAGUCAUACCUGCAGAAGACAUUCUGCCUGCUUCCCUUCCCCUUAGAUCCUCGCGGAGACGCCGCCGGUGCUGUGGCUGAGCGCUUGAGGGCACUGAAGCCUCAGCUCAGCUGCUGGGAGCCGUUUAUUUCGCAAUUUCUCCGAACAUGUGACAGCCACACAAAAUAUUAUCUGUACUGAUUCUUUUUUGACGCAGUAUCUUGUAGGACCACAGUCAUGUUUCGUGGAGUAUUUGGAGACAAAGGACAACACUACAGACAGACUUGAAAGCCACCGCCUUCUUUCCCCUUUCCAAAGCCACCGUGCUCAAAGCCGGCUCUCCCCGAGAGGGCGCUUGAACUCUCCUUCAGGUUGACUGCAGGUGAAUCAGAAAGCGACAGCGGCAGUCCCAGAGCCCAGAAAACUCCGGGUUCAAGACCUUCACCUUGAUGUUCCUCCAGACACCCAUUUCUGAAGAAUUAUGUCCAGGACUUAGCACAAGCUUGCCAGCCCCUCCUACUAUAUAAUCAUGCAGAAGGCCACCUUAAAAAUGUUUCAAGGUACUGCUAUUCAAAACAGAAAUGAAGAUGUGUAGAAGAUGCCAGUAACCACUUCAUCCUGCUCACUGGCCUUUCUACCAAAAUGUAAUGUCCAUCUUUACAUAGAAAAUGAGAGUAAGUUUGCAUGAGAGCAAAAAUAGAACAAUGAAUUUAUGGAAGGUUCCAUAGCACAUACUAUUUGUGAAAUAUGUUUACUGAUUAAUUCAGGAGAUAGGACACCAUAUAAGACCACACAUAAAUAUAUAUUUUAACUAUUAUUUCCCUGUAAAAUUACUGUCAAGCAAAUUUAACAAUGAGAUAUAGCACCAUGGGUUCUUUGGCUGGUCACCAUGAUUUGUUCAGUUACCUUGGACAAAAUAUCUCAGUCUUCCUGGGCCUUUGAGACCUUGAGGUAGGAAAGGGAAUGGCAGGGUGAAGCAGACAAAAAGUCUGAGCUAGCUUGACUAGCAGAACAUGGAACAAUGGCCUGAGACUGAUAAGCAAGUUUCAAUAUGAACUAGCUGCAAUGAGAUCAAACCAAGACGGCGUCCAGUUUGACUGGGAAUAGGCCUCUAACUUCAUUAAAUCUCAUUUACAUAGUAAAAAUCACACCCAUCAGUACCAUAACAGUUUGUUGUCAUGACAACCCCCAGAAAAGACCUAAAGUCCCCCUCUUUGAGAAUCUUCCCAGAGAAAUCAUGACUAUUCUGCCCACUGCUUUACAUACCUUUUGUACUUCCAAUAAAGAGCUAACACACUGCCGGGGUCGGGGUCGGAGGGGUGCUGCUCUGCCUGUGGUUUACAGUCUGUACCUUCAACCUCUGAAUAAAUCUGU